rnacentral:misc_RNA from 1 species
GCUCCGACUAGAAAGGUCGGGAAUAUGGGCUGGCCGGCGCGAGCUGGAUUCCACGCCGGCUGACCGUUGGGCGAAAGCUUCCACGCCUAUGAUUGCUGUUUCGAGAGCACGCGCUAGUUGAGUUGCCUCUCGAGGAUUGUUGUUGAACGCUUCCUUCCGCAGCUUCAUGCGAGCGAGCUCAUAGAUAUUCUGUCUAAGAGCUGCCGGAUCGUCCUUCGCGGAAUUUAUGAUGCGCUGAAGAACCA